rnacentral:rRNA from 1 species
UACGUAGGGUGCAAGCGUUGUCCGGAAUUAUUGGGCGUAAAGAGCUCGUAGGCGGUUUGUCGCGUCUGCUGUGAAAGUCCGGGGCUCAACUCCGGAUCUGCGGUGGGUACGGGGCAGACUAGAGUGAUGUAGGGGAGACUGGAAUUCCUGGUGUAGCGGUGAAAUGCGCAGAUAUCAGGAGGAACACCGAUGGCGAAGGCAGGUCUCUGGCAUUAACUGACGCUGAGGAGCGAAAGCAUGGGGAGCGAACAGG